rnacentral:ncRNA from 1 species
CCGGCUGUUCGCCGAGUAAAAGGUAACGCGGUUGGGUUAAAUACGUCGUGAGACAGUAUGGUCCCUAUCUUCUAUGGGGAAUAGAGUAAAAAAAGGAUCUUCCCUUCGUACGAAAGGAUUUGGGUGGACUAACCUCUGGUUUAUCUGUUGUUUAUAUACAAUCCUACUUAAAAUUAUAAUGAAUGUAUUAUAUUCAUUAUUCCCAACCCCUCCCCCCCAACCGAUGGUUGGGGGAAUUUACAAAUAAAUUGUAAAUGCAAAGCUUCGCUUU